rnacentral:rRNA from 1 species
AGCAGCCGCGGUAAUUCCAGCUCCAAUAGCGUAUAUUAAAGUUGUUGCAGUUAAAAAGCUCGUAGUUGAAUUUCGGGGUUAGUAGGUUGGUCGUGCCACUGGUACGUACUGGUCUCACUGACUCCUCCUUCCUGAUGAACUGUAAUGCCAUUAAUUUGGUGUUGCAGGGAAACUGGACUGUUACUUUGAAAAAUUAGAGUGUUUAAAGCAAGCUAACGCUUGAAUACAUUAGUAUGGAAUAAUGAAAUAGGACGUUCGAUCCUAUUUUGUGGUUUCUAGGAUUGACGUAAUGAUUAAUAGGGAUAGUUGGGGCAUUAGUAUUCAAUUGUCAGAGGUGAAAUUCUUGGAUUUAUUGAAG